GUGGGGAAUAUUGGGCAAUGGGGGCAACCCUGACCCAGCGACGCCGCGUGAGGGAAGAAGGCCUUAGGGUCGUAAACCUCUGUUGUGUGGGAAGAAGGAAGUGACGGUACCACACGAGGAAGUCCCGGCUAACUACGUGCCAGCAGCCGCGGUAAUACGUAGGGGACGAGCGUUGUCCGGAAUUACUGGGCGUAAAGGGCGCGUAGGCGGUCAUUUAAGUCAGCUGUGAAAUGGUCCGGCUCAACCGGAUCAUGCGGUUGAAACUGGAUGACUGGAGUGCUGGAGAGGCAAGUGGAAUUCCCAGUGUAGCGGUGAAAUGCGUAGAUAUUGGGAAGAACACCGGUGGCGAAGGCGACUUUCUGGACGAUGUCUGACGCUGAGGCGCGAAAGCUAGGGGAGCGAACGGGAUUAGAAACCCGAGUAGUCC
rnacentral:rRNA from 1 species